rnacentral:tRNA from 1 species
CAUAUAGUGCCUGAUAAAAGGAUAGCUUUGAUAGAGCUAAUAAUGUAACUUCCGUUACCUAUAUUA